UGGUCUGCAGCUCGACCACACGAAGCUGGAAUCGCUAGUAAUCGCGAAUCAGCAUGUCGCGGUGAAUACGUUCCCGGGUCUUGUACACACCGCCCGUCACACCAUGGGAGUCAGCAACGCCCGAAGUCAGUGACCUAACCGAGAGGAGGGAGCUGCCGAAGGCGGGACAGGUAACUGGGGUGAAGUCGUAACAAGGUAAC
rnacentral:rRNA from 1 species